rnacentral:lncRNA from 1 species
GCCAGCAGGACCCGGGUGGUGUGGACCAGGGGUGGAGCCGUUCCUUGUACCCCCUAUCCCACCUGCCUCCACUAACCCUCCCCCAGCGAGAGCGGAGAGCUGAGAACUAACGACUAGAGACCCAGAAAGGUUGCAGAGCAGGAGCCAAGGUCUGUCUCAUGUCCCCAGGGGCCAUGAGGAGGAGGCAGACGACCCAGAGCCUGUUGGUCACAUGGCUGCAGGACACUGUGAAGAUACGUUUUCAAACCCACUUGCAGAUGAGAGUGUUUGAACUGUGCACGGCCACCUACAUGUGAGCUGUGAGCUGGCAGCGAAGGGCAGAAGCCCGGAAGCAGGU